CUCUUUUUCUCCAAAGAAGAUUUUGCUUUCCUGGUACUUUUGUUCCCUCCGAGGUCCAGGGGAUGGCGUGGCUAAUGGAUCCCUAGGUAAAUAAGGCUUCAUCUCUCUGGGGGCUCGUCCGGGAUCAGCCCCCUCCCCACUACGGACCGGAGGGCCAGGCUCAACCAAGGUGAACAGCUCCGAUCGGCGUUCGCAUUUCCGGUGCACACCCUGCCAGUUUGUAGGGGGAGAUUGCCACACCGUCCUGGAGCGGAGACAUCUAGUUGAGGGAGAACAAGAGGACAGAACGGCGCCGAGGGGACAGGUCCGCAGCGGAGAAAGUCUCUCUCUCGAGAUUCUCUCUCUCAACCCAGGCCCGAACUCCUUGCGUGACCAGUUUGAGCCAGGUGACGAGGUGUGGAUAAGACUGGUCCCAGGCACCACUGCAACCGUGCUGGAAGGGCCCAUCUGCUCUUCACACCCACAGCUGUGAAGGUCGCUGGCACCACCCCUUGGGUCCACCACAU